CGUAUGGGCUGCGUUCAACAACAAAAGAAAAGAGUGGAGCGUCCAAACUCGAUUCAGUGAAGGAGGAGAAUGAAUCGAGAUGAAAACACAGUCUGCUCUGCUCAGCUGACAACCAAUCAAAUAAGAUCUUUGAAUGCGGCAGGCAUCCACCUCUGCCUCGUAAAGGAGUUGUUGUUUACUACUCUGCUCUGCCGAUCUCAGGUUUCAUCCCCUCGGGCACUGCUGGACUGUCAUCUCCCCAGAGGGAGGGGCUGUGACAUAAAACAAACACAGAUAUGCCAGGGUCACAGCCUGAAACACCUACUGCAACCCGACACCACAGCCAGGCCAGGCCAGCCAGCAGACUAGCAUUCCACAUGGCAGCGUGUCUGUGUUUGUGUGAGUCCAGAACCAUACCCAUACUGGCAUGGUGAUAGAGAGCGGGAGCAGAUCUGGAACUAGCCCAUGAAUGUAUGUGUUCCCUGACGUAUCCCCCGGAACAUUCUUUGCAUUAACUCAAGCUUGUUAAAAAGGGACUUCGACAAGGACGCCCCUCAUCUCUGCUGUUUGUUUGAGACUGUAUCAAGGAGAAGAUGAGAGCGAACAUUUUGGGAACAAGUGUGUCAUUAAUACAAGUAGACAAACUGAAAAAAGAAAUGGAAAUGAACUGAAUUUUGGCCUUGACGCAUUGUAAUGCAUGCAGCGAACCACACUGGAUGGAUCUGAAAUUG